rnacentral:lncRNA from 1 species
GGCUCAGAGGCACUCUGCAGUCACACAGCUGGAGGGGUGCAGUGAGACGCGGAGGCUCCAAGUCUCUUCUGGACUAGGCCUGGAUCUGCCACCUCUUCUUUCGGCUGUGGAUGGCCCUGGGAGACACGCCUGGCCUCAGAUGCCCCUUGACCCAACUGGAGGAAGGGUGGGGGGCCCAGCAGAAAAGCCUGCAGCCUCCCUGGGCACCGUUUCAAAGCUGAUGCUGCUCUCCCUGCUCUGGGUCUCAGCUCCUCCCCUCUUCUGCAUUGUUGACCAACAGCCUGGGUCUGACGCGGAAGCAGAAGAAUUCCCAUUCAACUGGGCCCCAGGGAUGGGGGGCCUCUCUGCCAGUAAGUGACACCCUCUGCUACUGAAAGGCCUCAUGUUCCUGCCCUGCCAAGCCUGGGGUGGCCACCACGUGACAGCACCAGGGACACGUGUCUUCUGGGACCGCUUGUGAGCUGGGUGGCUGGCAAGUUUGUUUCUCCAUGUCCCGCAGCAGGGGCAAGGGUGUGGGUGGUCAUAAUGCACCAGGGCUCUGGGCGGGCUGAGCAGAGUGCAGUUCCUGCUGCCAGCCCCGAUAUGGCACGGACAGCUGGAAAAACUGACCAUGUGGCUUGACUAUCUCAGAGGAUUGCUCCAUUUUUCCUCAGCAUAAUUUUUCCAUGAAUAAUCUUUAAAGCUCUUUAAGUGGCUGUUUCUUUAGCAGUUUUAUUGGAACAUAUGAGAACUGACAGUCUCUGUGGGGAACGAGAUAUCAUGUUGAAAAAAAAUCUGGUUUUCAUUACACUUCUUUCAAGAAAGCAACAGGCUGCCCAACAGACCUCUCAUUGAUUGGAAGAGAAAUGAGCCCAGAGCCUCCUAACAACAGCCUUGGAGUGGACAGGAUGAUGAACAGUGAUGCCAAAGACUCAGGAUCUGAAGGCAGACAGGCCUGGUCCACCACCUGUGUCUGCCAUUUGCAGGAUGAGUGACCUUGAGUAGGUCACCUCACACCUCUGAACCUGAAUUCUACAUCUGCAAAACAGGAAUGAUGACCCUGACUGACAGCCUCCCUGUGAGGAGUAAGCCAUACAGCAUCCCUCCCUCCUUCACGUGACAAACUUUUCCUGAGUCCUGACCUCGGGGGCAGGAGCUGGAGAUACUACACUGGAUUAGAAAGAUGAGUUUCCAGUCAAGUGUGGGAGAGAGAAGUAGCCAGGAUGUAGAACCUGACAAGGGAAGAGUUCAGGAACUUGCCCAGUUGAGCAGCCAGUGAACGGGACAGCCCUGAGCACGGUGCACGUUCUGGGGUGGCUCGUGAGUGACAGCAGUACUGGUAUGCUGGUGAGUGCCUCAGCAGGAGCUCCCUCUGUCCCCCUACCAACUCCCCGAUGUCUGGACGGCACCAGAGCCCGCCUGGGAGGCCACGAGCUAACACUCUCAAGAGGAAAACAGGGGGAUCAAACCAAUGACCCAAGGGCCUACAGCUAAGAACUGCUGGAGCCAGGCUCUGAACUGAGCUCUGCCUGACUCCAGAGGUGGUUUCUACCACCAGGCAAUACAACAGGGAGACACGCAGGUGUGUCAGAGAGCAGUCCUCACAGUGCGAGCACAGAAACCAGAGGCCAAGGCUGAAGAUUUUCCUGGACUCGCGGUGCUGCCCAGGAAUCUUCUGAGAAAACCUGUCAGUUGCCUAUUUGUUGGUGUGGAACUGCCUGUGAAGUCAUUCUGCAGGGGUGGAAAGUGGGGGCCAGCUCUCUGUGGGCAACAGGGACCAUCCCAGAGACAAAGGGCAGCCUCAGCCCACAGACCACUUCGGACUUGAAUCAAGGCCUCAAAGGGCGAGACCUGGGCCACUGUCAAUGUGAGGGCAGGUAGGCUGGGUAGAGGGGUAGAGGCGUGGGCGCUGCCUAGAAGAGGGCCAGAGAGACCGCCCGGCACAUUGGUCUUGCUCCCACUGCCUCCUUUCAGCUCCUCAGUGUACCCAUCCUUGCCCCUGGCAGCUUUUGCUGCCUGGUUCCCCGACUAAAAUGUGAGCUUUGUGGGGAAGGUUCUUGCCUUGCUGGGCACCUGGCUCACAGCAAGUCCUUGGCCUGGAAGUCUUGGGUGAAUGAAUGAAUGAACAUGUCUUAGGGCCUCUCCUUUGCAGGUGUGGGGGAUGUGCCUACUGGAAAGGGCACCGAGCUGAAGCCUAAACCCCCUCCUGAGGAGCCAGGGAAGCCUGCGUUCCUCCCAUUCCCGGGACUGCAAGAGGCACAUUCCUGUCCCUGAGUCUGGUCAGGCUCCUGCCACGCAGCUCAGUCUGGCUGCCAGGUCCAGAAAGGCCUCCCUGGAGCUGCCCCUCUGGCCCCACCCUUCCCAGGACCCCAGGCCACCCCACAGCUGCAGCAGCACCCACUCUCUGUCUUCUGAGGCUGCUAGUGGGAAGCUGGGACCCCCGAGUGUGUCUGAAACCUUCCAGGCACUCCUCGACCCUCUAGUGAUCAAUGAAAACCUUCACAUCCUGCUUCCAGGGCUGAAGCCAGGGAUUUGGAAAAUUGGUGGAAAACACUCCUAUGAGCUGGGGCUUGCUCUGCUGUGGAAAACUGCCAGCAUCAGCACUUCUCCCAAGGCUGUGCCGAGUCAGCAGUCAGCCCACUCUGGAGCUGCCUCUGAGGACCAGGUGCCUACAGGACCCUGUAAGGAGCUUGAAGAGUUGUGGCUGACGGAGGGAUUUCUGUCCUGGGCUCUAGGAAUUCUAGACUGGGCCCUUCCUCAAGGAGCUUUCAGUCUGGCGGAGCAGACAGACAUGGGCAAAUAAGCCCACAACUAACUGUGCCAUCACUGCAGAAGGAAGUGCCACGGAGGAGCAUGAGGGCCAGUUGCAGGAAGGAGCCAGGGCCAGCAUGUGCCUGUAAAAGCCAGAUAGUAAAUAGUUCACGCUCUGCAGGCCACAGGGUCUUUGUCCCAAGCACUCAACUCUGCCACUGCUGCAUGAAAACAGCCACAGGCGAUAUGUCAACCAAAGAGGGGUGGUUGUGCCCAUAUGAAAACAGAGGGUGGAUCUGUCCCACAGUUUGCCACAGCCUGGCUGUUAGACGGCCUGACCUGAUUGGGGGUGGGGGUGAUAGUGGGGAGAAGGCUUCCCCGAGGCAGUGAUAUUUAGCUAAAAGCUGCAGGCUGAGGCAAUGAUGGAGGCAGAAUCACAAUAUGACAAUUAUGAUAAUCACAUCACCAUGAUCAAGUUCCACCUAACACGUGUGUUCUAUGUUGCGCACUGUGCUAAUAACAACACUACCCUGUGAAGGAGGAAGAUUUUAUGCCCACUUUACAGAUAGAGACACUGAGGCUUGGCAGUAUGCUGAGUAGUCUGUUCACACAAUUCAGCUGCAUUUUUUGC